AUUGGCUUGCUUCCCAUCCAGCAAUUUCAGUCCGUUUGCUACCAAAUUGGCCAAUUGACAUGCCCAAUCCGUCAAUUUCCAUGAAUGACCUCCCUGGUCGGAUUUGCCUCGGAACUUCCCUUGUCGCCUAGGACUUCUCUCAUGUCCAUGCGACUCAUUGCCUUCGGCUUUCUGCUGUGUUUCAGUGCCUUCCCUGUCCUUGUGGCUAGGUGUCUUCGCCUUCCUCUCGGCCUUGCA
rnacentral:misc_RNA from 1 species